rnacentral:tRNA from 1 species
UGCCUGAUGGUCCAGUGGUCGGGACUCUGCGCUUUCACUGCCGAGAGCCUGGGUUCAAACCCUAGUCAGAAAA